rnacentral:rRNA from 1 species
GAUGAACGCUAGCGGCAGGCUUAAUACAUGCAAGUCGAGGGACAGCACAGGUAGCAAUACUGGGUGGUAACCGGCAAACGGGUGCGGAACACGUACACAACCUUCCUUUACGUGGGGGAUAGACCAGAGAACUUUGGAUUAAUACCACGUAAUAUAGUUUAACGUCAUCAUUUGAUUAUUAUAGCUACGGCGCUUAAUGAUGGGUGUGCGGCGGAUUAGAUAGGUGGCGGGGUAGCGGCACACCAAGUUUACGAUCAGUAACUGAUGUGAGAGCAUGAUCAGCCACACGGGAACUGAGACAUGGGCCCGACUCAUACGGGAGGCAGCAGUAAGGAAUAUUGGUCAAUGGACGCAAGUCUGAACCAGCCAUGCCGCGUGAAGGAUUAAGGUCCUCUGGAUUGUAAACUUCUUUUAUUUGGGACGAAAAAGGGCCUUUCUAGGUCAACUGACGGUACCAGAUGAAUAAGCACCGGCUAACUCCGUGCCAGCCGCCGCAGUAAGAC